rnacentral:snoRNA from 1 species
ACCAAUUCUGGAGGAUAAAUUGGUUCCUCACGGUGUAAUGGCUCGGACGCCAUAUUAAUAUUUGUGGCCAUCCUGAUCAAUGGGUUCUCAAUACCCAUUGCAUCCUGGAAACACCCCAUACAUUU